rnacentral:rRNA from 1 species
GAUGAACGCUGGCGGCGUGCCUAAUACAUGCAAGUCGAGCGAACGGACGAGAAGCUUGCUCCUCUGAUGUUAGCGGCGGACGGGUGAGUAAUACGUGGAUAACCUACCUAUAAGACUGGGAUAACUUCGGGAAACCGGAGCUAAUACCGGAUACUAUUUUGAACCGCAUGGUUCAAAAGUGAAAGACGGUCUUGCUGUCUCUUAUAGAUGGAUCCGCGCUGCAUUAGCUAGUUGGUAAGGUAACGGCUUACCAAGGCAACGAUGCAUAGCCGACCUGAGAGGGGGAUCGGCCACCCUGGAACUGAGACACGGACCCGAGUCCUACGGGAGGCAGCAGUAGGGAAUCGUACGCAAUGGGCGAAAGCCUGACGGAGCAACGCCACGUGAGUUAUGAAGGUCUUCGGAUCGUAAUACUCUGUUAUUAGUUAAGAACAUAUGUGUAAGUAACUGUGCACAUCUUGACGGUACCUAAACAGAAAGCCACGGCUAACUACGUG